AUGGAGAUGAAACCCAAAAGAUUUUCGUUGGGGCGUAACCCUCUCAGCGAAGCGCCACAUCGGAACCCGGGUGUGGUGGCAAAUGGGCAAGGGCUGGGCCGUCACCCCCCAGCUGGUGCGUCGUAUCUUGAUCCGGAUACGGUGGCAAGUGAGCGAGGAUCAUGUCGUCACAUCCUUAGUGGCGCACUACAUCGGCGCCCGGAUGUAGUGGAAAAUGAGCAAGGGUCUUUGCAUUUGACUCGACGAGUGCGAAGGGUAAGGAAGCUAGCCGAGCCUAGGAGGAUUCGCUUAGGUAGCUGGAACGUAGGGUCUCUGACAGGGAAGCUUCGGGAGCUAGUUGAUGCAGCGGUGAGGAGAGGUGUUGAUAUCCUUUGCGUCCAAGAAACCAAAUGGAGAGGACAGAAGGCGAAGGAGGUGGAGGAUACCGGCUUCAAGUUGUGGUACACGGGGACGGCUGCAAACAGAAAUGGCGUAGGCAUCUUGAUCAACAAGAGCCUCAAGUAUGGAGUGGUAGACGUCAAGAGACGUGGGGAACGGAUUAUCCUGGUCAAGCUGGUAGUUGAGGACUUGGUUCUCAAUGUUAUCAGCGCGUAUGCCCCGCAAGUAGGCCACAAUGAGAACACCAAGAGGGAGUUCUGGGAAGGCCUGGAAGACAUGGUUAGGAGUGUACCGAUUGGUGAGAAGCUCUUCAUAGGAGGAGACCUCAAUGGCCACGUGGGUACAUCUAACACAGGUUUUGAAGGGGCGCAUGGGGGCUUUGGCUAUGGCAUCAGGAAUCAAGAAGGAGAAGAUGUCUUAAGCUUUGCUCUAGCCUACGACAUGAUUGUAGCUAACACCCUCUUUAGAAAGAGAGAAUCACAUCUAGUGACUUUUCGUAGUGGCCAACAUUCCAGCCAGAUUGACGUGCAUGCCUUGACUGUAAGGUGA
rnacentral:rRNA from 1 species